UAGAUAUUAUGACAUAAAACACAAUUAUCGUAAGGUAUAUAAAGAAUAAAUUAAUUACACCCCAUAAUAGGAUACAAAGUACAUCGAUCCAGGAUGAAGAUUUCUACCAUUUUCUGCUGCAUAAUUCUUAUUUUACCUCUGUGCUUCUCUACGCCGGUAGAAAAGGCAACAGAAUUGGAUGAAGUAAAUUCAGUUAAUGAAGUAAGAAGAAUACAAAAGAGAUGUUUAUAUAUAGGAUGCAGAUAUUGGUAUUGUGGAUGCCAUGACCCGGUGAAGGAAUAAUGUAUAUGCAAUUAAGCACGGAUAUAAAUAUAAU